UUUUCCAAAAAAAAUGCUAUGAUUAUAUUCUGUGUUCAAAAUAUUUGCCAGGAAUAAAACAUCUUUCCAAAAAAACCCUCAUCUUCUCAAUGCCACUUUCUUCUCUUCUCAUCCGCCCGCUGCUUUUGGUUCCCAAAAUUCAAGCUCUUGUUUUGGAUGAAAGCUACAAACGACACUCGACGAACAACACGAGAUUCACACCAUAGAACACGAUCUCUGAGGGGAAAUCAACUUCAACACUAAUUUUCAAGGACAAAGCUACAAGUUGGAAGAAGUUUCUUUCUUCUUGUCGCCUUCUGCAACGUUCUGGGUUCCAUAGAUAAAAGCUUCACUUCUUGUCAAUUCUUACAAUUUUCUGAGUAUGGGUUCAUAAUAAUUCCCUACACGGUUUUGUAUGGUCUUUUUUGUGCUCUAAUUUACCUCUCUGAGGGGAAAUCAACUUCAGCCCUAAUUUUCAAGGACGGUUUUGUUUGUAUGGCCUUCUCUGUGCUCUCUAUCUCUAGUAGAGAGGUAUUAGGUCCACUAUUUUUUACACGGCUCAUUGUUAUCCUUGAAUCUGCAAUUGUUAUUUUUUUGUUUCUCAUUUUUAGGCAUAGAAAUUUUCUCAAUUUGGAAUUGGGGAUGGAAUGUUGUUCUAAUGUGUAGUCAUGAAAUCUCCAUAUAUGAAUGUUUCUUCUAUUUGUGCAGUUGAGUUUGAAAUAGCUUUGUGAUCAAAAGAAUAUUAGUUACUUACAAUAAGUACAAAGUUCCCGUCGAACGAGGAAUUAUUUUUGCUGAUUCAGGACAUCAUUCGUACACACCAACAACAAACCUCUGUCAUUCUCCAUGAGUUUUUCCAAUAGAACAAUGUUGGUAGGCGGUCGAGAUCAAACAAUCCACGACGUUUAUUUUGUCGUUUAGCCUGCAUCCCCACCCAAGUGAUGCGUUUAAAUAGAUUAGUAGGUGUCACAGACCGCUCUUGCUUAGAUAAUCUGCAUAUGGAUCGUAAUUGUUUUGGGAGGCUUUGUAUACUCCCUCCGUCCCAGCCUAAGUGAUACGUAUUCUUUUUUGGUACUUCCCAGCCUAAGUGAUACGUAUUCUUUUUUGGUACGUCCCAACCUAAAUGAGACGUUUCAUUUUUUGGCAACAAUCAACUCACUCCUCUCACCCACUUUAUUCUCUCAUCUCUCCUACUUUAUCAUCUCUCUUACUUUAUUCUCUCUUUCUCUUUAUUACUUUAUUCUCUAUCUUACUUUUUUCUUUCUUUCUCUUUCUUACUUUACUCUCUCUCUUAUUUUACUAUCAAUAAUUUAAUCCACUAAAUACCACUACCUAAAUUCUUGUGCCAAAAUAGAAACAUCUUGCUUAGGCCGGGACGGAGGGAGUACUUUUUAGAGAACGGGCUGGGUUGGAAGACAAAGUUUUUGUUAAAGUGGAAGAACAAGUAGCAAUUUUCUUAUGUGUAUUAGCACACCAUAAAAAAACAGGGUAGUUAGCUUUGAAUUUUUGCGCUCCGGGCAUACGGUUUCAAACUAUGUACAUGUAGUCCUCAACGCCCUCAUAAAGCUUCAUGCUCUAUUUGUUGUGAAGCCUAUUCCAGUACUAGCUGACUGUGUCGACAAUAGGUGGAAGUGGUUUAAGGGCUGUUUGGGUGCUUUAGAUGACACAUAUAUCACUAUGAGGGUAGACAUGGCUAACAAACCACGAUAUUGAACUAGGAAAGGGCAUAUAGCGACAAACACUCUGGCUGCAUGCACUAGAGAUAUGCGUUUUACGUAUGUGUUGCAGGGGUGUGAGGGGUCGGAUGGUGAUGCACGAGUCCUACGGGACGCUGUGACACGUGAAUUUGGACUUAAAGUGCCUAGAGGUAUCACUUCUAGUUUGUUAAAAAUAUUUCUAGUUUUCACUGUGUUUAUCACAUAGUUCUUCCUAUACAAGGGUAUACAUUCUACUAGCCAUUUCAAAUUUA